CAGCUGCCCUGAGCUUUGUGCUCCACGGCCUCAGAUCAGAUGUGGUGACCUGCUGAAUUUAAGCAUAACCAGGAUUCCCUCAGUAACGGCCAGUGAAAAGGGAAGAGCCCAGCACCGAAUCCCUUCUGCGGCAGGCGUGGGAAAUGUGGCGUACAGAAGACCGACUCCCUGGCAUUGUUCGGUGGGCUUAAGUCCUUCUGAUCGAGUCUCACCACGCGGAUGGUGUUUGGCAGGUAGCGGCCUCUUGCACGCCGGGAUCAGGUCUUCUUGGAGUCAGGUUGCUUGGGAAUGCAGCCCAAAGCGUGUGGUAAACUCUAAGGCUAAAUACGGGUGCGAGACUGGUGGCCAACAAGUACCGUUUGAAGAGAGUUCAAGAGGGUGUGAAAAAGUUGAGCAGUAAACUGGUGGGCUCUGUGCAGUCCGUCCACCGGAUUCAACACGGCAGGCAGGCCACCUGGUACGAUGGAGGCCCUUGCGAAUCUGCGGCCGGGCACAUCCAGCCCAGCAAGGUGCAUUUCCUCUGUAGCGGUACACCACGACCAGCUGGCAAGGCCCCAGGGUGCAGGUGGCUCUCUGCUCCAGGGGUCUGAGGUGAUGUCGGUUAACCACCCGACCUGUGUGGAAAAACUGACCAAGAAGUAUAACACGUGCCCGAGUGAGAGGGCUUAAUGAAAUUCUGUGAUUUAAUGAUGUUGAGGGCCGGUGCUCGCCGAUUGCAGUGGCAUCCUGUCACGGUGGGCCCCCCACCGACCCGUCUCGCCUGCUCUUUCUGAGAAAUGAUGCAUGCGUGUGUGUGAUAGGACCUGAAAGAUGGUGAACUCGGCCUGGUGGAGGUCUGUAGCGGUCCUGAUGUGUAAAUUGGUCAUCCGACCUAGGUAUAGGGGCAAAAGACUUAUCGAACGAUAUAGUAGCUGGUUCUCUCCGAAGUUUCCCUCGGAUAGCUGACGCACGGAAACACCAGUUUUAUCUAGCAAAGCGAUUGAUUAGAGGUCUUGGGGCCAAAAUUAUCUCAACCUACUCUCAAACUUUAAAUGGGUAUGAAGCCCGACUCGUUGGCGUGGAGCCGAGUAUUGUACGAAGUGCUCAGUGGGCAACUUUUGGUAAGCAGAACUGGCGCUGCGGGAUGAACUGCACCCCGGGUUAAGGCGCGUGAUGCAAAUGCUCAUCAGACCCCAGAAACGGUGUUGGUUGAUAUAGACAGCAGGAUGGUGGCCAUGGAAUUCGGAAUCCGCUAAGUGUGUAACAACUCGCCUGCCGAAUCAACUUGACCUGAAAAUGGAUGGCGCUGGAGCGUCGAGGCCCAUACCCAGCCGGCGCUUAGAGCCGCGGGGGCUAUGUCAGGCGAGUAGGAGGGCUGCUGCGGUAUGCACAAAAGCCCGGGGCAAUGGUCCGGGUGAAGCCGCCGCUGGUGCAUAUCUUGGUUGUAAUAGCAAAUAUUCAAACGAGAACUUUGAAGGAUGAAGUGGAGAAGGGUUCCAUGUGAACAAAAGUUUAACAUGGGUCACUCGGUGCUAAGAGAUGGGCUAGUGCCGUUCGGAAGGGAUGGGCUAGGGCCUCCAUUGCCCUCAGCCGAUCGAUGGGGAGUCUGGUUCAGAUCCCCGAAACCUGAGUGGCAGAGACGGGUGCCCUUGCAGCGUCCAGUGCGGUAACGCAAAUGAUCCCAGUGAAGCCGGCGGGAGCCGCACAGAGUUCUUUUCUUUGUGAAGGGCAGGGCACCCUGGAAUGGGUUUGCCCGGAGAAAGGGGACCGAGCCUUGGAAAGCGUUGCGGUUCCGGCGGCAUCCGGUGAGCUCUCGCUGGUCCUUGAAAAUCUGGGUGAGAUGUUGUAGAUCUCGUGCCUGGCGUACCCAUAUCCGCAGCAUGUCUCCAAGGCGGACAACCUCUGGCAUGUCAGAACAAUGUAGGUAAGGGAAGUUGGCAAGUUAGAUCCGUAACUUAGGGAUAAGGUUGGCUCUAAGGGCUGGGUCGGUCGGGGCGCGAAGCAGGGCUGGGUGCGCACCAUGGCUGGAUGAGGUGUCUUUCCCCCCCUGCCCCCCCAUUACCUCACCCAGGGUGGUGGCUCUGCCUCUGGAUGCAAGCCGGGCCCUUCCUGGGGAACACCCCAGCUGAUGUGUUCGCCUUUCUCAUUCCCCACCAGGGGUUCAGGGCCAGCAUUCUGCCUCGGCUGACACCUAGCAGCUGACUUGGAACUGCUGAGGACAAGGAAUAUGUUUAAUUAAAACAAAGCAUUGCGAAGGCCCGUGGAGGGUGUUGGCAAAAAUCACAUUGCGUCAAGUGCUCUGAAUGUUAAAGUGAAGAAAUUCAAUGAAGCCUGGUAAACGGCUGGGGUAACUAUGACCUUUAAGGUAGACAAAGGCCUUGUCAUCUAAUUAGUGAUGUGCACAAAUGGAUGAAUGAGAUUCCCACUGUCCCUACCUGGUAUCUAGCGAAACCACAGCCAAGGGAACAAGCUUGGCAGAAUCAUCGUGGAAAGAAGAUCCAGUUGAGUUUGACUCAAGUCUGGCAUUGUGACGAGAUGUGAGAGGUAGGAUAAGUGGGAGGCCCUCGGCCGCUGGUGAAAUACCACUACUCUUAUUUUUUCCAUUUACCCGGUGAGGUGGGGGCGAGCCCCGUGGGACUCUCGCUCUGGGGACAGUGGCAGGUGGGGAGUACGUGGUACACCUGUGAAAGGAUAACACAGGUGAACUCAGGGAGGACAGAAACCUCCUGUGGAGCAGAAGGGCAAAAGCUAGCUUGAUCUCGAUUUUUCAGUAUGAAUACAGACCUUCACGAUGCUGCUGACUUUUUGGGUUUCAAGCAGGAGGUGUCAGAAAAGUUACCACAGGGAUAACUGGCUUGUGGUGGCCAAGCCUUCGUAGCGAUGUCGCUUUUUGAUCCUUCUAUGUCGACUCUUCCUAUAAUUGUAAAACAGAAUUGACCAAGCAUCGGAUGGUUCACCCACUAAUAGGGAGCGUGAGGUGGAUUUAGACCGUCGUGAAACAGGUUAGUUUUACCCUACAGAUGAUGUGUUGUUGCAAUAGUAAUCCUGCUCAGUACAAGAAGAACCGCAGGUUCAGACAUUUGGUGUGCAUGCUUGGCGCCAAUGGGGUGAAGCUACCAUCUGUGGGAUUAUGACUGAACACCUCUAAGUCAGAAAACCCGCCCCCCAGACCGUGAUACCGCAGCGCUGUCGAGCAUCGGUUGGCUUAGGAUAGCUCGGGACACCUCCCACCCGUAGUGCACCGCAUGUUCGUGGGGAAUCUGGUGCUAAAUCAUUCGUAGACAACCUAAUUCUGGUUCAGGGUUUCGUAAGUAGCAGAGCAGCUACCUCGCUGCGUUCUAUUGGAAGUC
rnacentral:rRNA from 1 species